rnacentral:rRNA from 1 species
AUUGAACGCUGGCGGCAGGCCUAACACAUGCAAGUCGAGCGGGACGGCGGGCGGGUGCGUGAUGCAUAGGAGUCUGCCUGGUAGUGGGGGAUGGCGUAAGGAAACGGGACCUGAUACCGCAUCCUAUCAGAUGAGGCUGGGGCGGAUUAGCUAGUUGGUGGGGUAAGGGCGUACAAAGGCGACGAUCCGUAACUGGUCUGAGAGGAUGAUCAGUCACAAUGGAACGCAGACACGGUCCAGACUCCUACGGGAGGCAGCAGUGGGGAAAAUUGGACAAUGGGCGAAAGGCUGAUCCAGCCAUGGCGGGUGUGUGAAGAAGGUCUUGGGAUCGUAAAGCACUUUAAGUUGGGAGGCGGUACCUACAGAAGAAGCACCGGCUAACUUCGUGCCAGCAGCCGCGGUAAUAC